UACGUAGGGUCGCAAGCGUUAAUCGGAAUUACUGGGCGUAAAGCGUGCGCAGGCGGUUUUGUAAGUCUGUCGUGAAAGCCCCGGGCUCAACCUGGGAAUUGCGAUGGAGACUGCAAGGCUUGAAUCUGGCAGAGGGGGGUAGAAUUCCACGUGUAGCAGUGAAAUGCGUAGAGAUGUGGAGGAACACCGAUGGCGAAGGCAGCCCCCUGGGUCAAGAUUGACGCUCAUGCACGAAAGCGUGGGGAGCAAACAGG
rnacentral:rRNA from 1 species